GCAUCGAUGAAGAACGCAGCGAAAUGCGAUAAGUAAUGUGAAUUGCAAAAUUCAGGGAAUCAUCGAAUCUUUGAACGCACCUUGCGCCCUUUGGCUAUUCCGAAGGGCAUGCCUGUUUGAGUAUCAUGAACACCUCAACUCCUCAUGGUUUGCCAUGAUGAGCUUGGACUUUGGGGGCCUUGCUGGCCUGUGGUCGGCUCCUCUCAAAUGAAUCAGCUUGCCAGUGUUUGGUGGCAUCACGGGUGUGAUAACUAUCUACGCUUGUGGUUCNGUGCCAAAUAACCUUCAGCAGUGGGGGUUCACUGGAGCUCAUAAACGUCUUUCCUCAGUGGGGGACAG
rnacentral:rRNA from 1 species